UUGGUGGAUUUUCAAUAGAAGAAAUUAUAACUUUAUUUAUAAAAAUUAUAGAUUUUCCAUUUUUUUUUUUUAUUUCGUUUCUUACUCUAUUUUCUGUUUCUUCUAUAAGUUUUUUUCUUUCAUCUUCUCCUAAAGUAGUUAAACUUUUUCCUUUUAGGAAAUUUUCCAUUUUUCCUUUUUGGGAAUUUUUUUUCAUUUCAUUAAAUUUUUCUUGCUCUUCUAAAAUAAGUUUAAAUUCUUCUUCACUUAUUUUGUUGUCAGUUAAAGAC
rnacentral:lncRNA from 1 species